rnacentral:rRNA from 1 species
CCUGGUUGAUCCUGCCAGUAGUCAUAUGCUUGUCUCAAAGAUUAAGCCAUGCAUGUCUAAGUACAUACCGAAAUAAGGUGAAACCGCGAAUGGCUCAUUAAAUCAGUUACGGUUCCUUAGACUAUACUUUCCUACUUGGAUAACUGUGGUAAUUCUAGAGCUAAUACAUGCAACAGAGCUCCGACCUUCGGGGACGAGCGCAUUUAUUAGGCCAAAAUCAAUCGGGCUUAGGCUCGCUUGUGGUGAUGACUCUGGAUAACUAUCAGCUGAUCGCACGGUCUAGCACCGGCGACGUAUCUUUCAAGUGUCUGCCUUAUCAACUUUCGAUGGUAGGUUAUGCGCCUACCAUGGUCGUUACGGGUAACGGGGAAUCAGGGUUCGAUUCCGGAGAGGGAGCCUGAGAAACGGCUACCACAUCCAAGGAAGGCAGCAGGCGCGCAAAUUACCCACUCCCGGCACGGGGAGGUAGUGACGAAAAAUAACAAUACGGGACUCUAUUGAGGCCCCGUAAUUGGAAUGGGUACAAUCUAAACCCUUUAACGAGUAUCCAUUGGAGGGCAAGUCUGGUGCCAGCAGCCGCGGUAAUUCCAGCUCCAAUAGCGUAUAUUAAAGUUGUUGUGGUUAAAAAGCUCGUAGUUGGAUCUCAGAUUCAGACUCGUGGUCCACCGCCCGGUGGUUACUAUGAGGACUGGACGUUUGGCCGGAUUCCUUUGAUGCUCUUUGCCGAGUGUCUUGGGUGCCCGGCACGUUUACUUUGAAAAAAUUAGAGUGCUUAAAGCAGGCGUACUGCCUGAAUAAUGGUGCAUGGAAUAAUGGAAUAAGACCUCGUCUCUAUUUUGUUGGUUUUCGGAAAACGAGGAAAUGAUUAAGAGGGACAGACGGGGGCAUUCGUAUUGCGACGCUAGAGGUGAAAUUCUUGGACCGUCGCAAGACGAACUACUGCGAAAGCAUUUGCC